GGGUCAGUAGGUUGGUCGUGCCACCGGUACGUACUGGUCUCACUGAUUCCUCCUUCCUGAAGAACCGUAAUGCCAUUAAUUUGGUGUCGCGGGGAAACAGGACUGUUACUUUGAAAAAAUUAGAGUGUUUAAAGCAAGCUAACGCUUGAAUACAUUAGCAUGGAAUAAUGAAAUAGGACGAUCGAUCCUAUUUUGUUGGUUUCUAGUAUUGACGUA
rnacentral:rRNA from 1 species